ensembl:snRNA U6 U6 spliceosomal RNA
UUGCUUCAGCAGCACAUACACUAAAAUUGAGAUGAUGCAGAGAGGAUUAUCAUGGCCCUCACACAAGAGUGACAUACAUUCAUAAAGUGUUCCAUAUUCUG